GCGAGCGUGGCCAAGUGGUUAAGGCAGCGGAUUGUGAUUCCGCCAUUCGUGGGUUCAAGUCCCAUCGUUCGCCCUA
rnacentral:tRNA from 1 species